CCAAGGAGUCUAACAUGUGUGCGAGUCGUAGGGUGCGUACGAAACCCGAAGGCUAAGUGAAAGCACGGGCCGUUGCCAGACGGCCGAGGCGGGAUCCGCCCGUUUUUCCGGCGACGGAAGCGGGCGGCGCACCGCCGGCCCGUCUCGACCGCAGCGUCGGUGAGGCGGAGCAAGAGCAGACACGUUGGGACCCGAAAGAUGGUGAACUAUUCCUAGGCAGGACGAAGCCAGAGGAAACUCUGGUGGAGGUCCGUAGCGUUUCUGACGUGCAAAUCGAUCGUCAGACCUGGGUAUAGGGGCGAAAGACUAAUCGAACCAUCUAGUAGCUGGUUCCCUCCGAAGUUUCCCUCAGGAUAGCUGGCUCUCGAGAGAAACACAGUCUCAUCCGGUAAAGCGAAUGAUUAGAGGCCUUGGGGCCGAAACGACCUCAACCUAUUCUCAAACUUUCAAUGGGUGAGAAGUCCGGCUUGCUCGACUGAAGCCCGGACGUCGGAUGCGAGUGCCCAGUGGGCCACUUUUGGUAAGCAGAACUGGCGCUGUGGGAUGAACCAAACGCCGGGUUACGGCGCCCAAUGCGACGCUCAUCAGACACCAUGAAAGGUGUUGGUUGCUAUAGACAGCAGGACGGUGGCCAUGGAAGUCGGAAUCCGCUAAGGAGUGUGUAACAACUCACCUGCCGAAGCAACUAGCCCUGAAAAUGGAUGGCGCUCAAGCGUCGAGCCUAUACCCGGCCGCCGGGGCAGAGCCCGAAAAAAAAGGCAGCAGACGCCCCGGCGAGUAGGAGGGUCGCGGCGGCGAGCGGAAAAGGGUCGGGCGUAGGCCCGCCUGGAGCCGCCGCCGGUGCAGAUCUUGGUGGUAGUAGCAAAUACUCGAGUGAGAACCUUGAGGACUGAUGUGGAGAAGGGUUCCAUGUGAACAGCAGUUGAACAUGGGUCAGUCGGCCCUAAGGAAUAGGGAAAUCCCGUUCCGAAAUUGGGGUUCGUUUAAGAAAAACAAAUCCCCGAGCAAACCGAAAGGGAAUCGGGUUAAUAUUCCCGAACCCGGACACGGAGAUCGGGCCUCUAUCGGUCCAGUGCGGUGACGCAAACGCCCUCGGAGACGUCGGCGGGAGUCCCGGGAAGAGUUGUCUUUUCUUUGUAAGGAACGGAAUCCCUGGAAUCGGUUCGCCCGGAGAUAGGGAUGUGGUUUCCGUAAAGCACCGCGCCUCCUGCGGUGUCCGGACAGCUCUCGUCGGCCCUUGAAAAUCCGAGGAAGGCAGUGCGAUUUUCGUGCCGGGCCGUACCCAUAUCCGCAGCAGGUCU
rnacentral:rRNA from 1 species